GCAAAUAUUUAUUAACUCUUAAUACAAGAUAUUCUUUAAUGAGAAUGUAUGUAUACAUAACUUAGGCGAUAAAUGACAAAUGUUGGUAAAAGAAGAUGUGAAACCAGUUAAUUUUGCUUUAAUAAGAAUUCAAAAUAUGGGAGGAAACAUUCAUUUUGUGGCUGAUUAGAAUUUUCAAGAAUUAAUUGAAAGUUUUAAUAUUAAGAGAUUUGUAUGGUUCUAAUCAGUUCAUUAUACCAGAACAUGAGGGCUACAAAAUAAAAAGAGGUAUUUUUUAUCUUAGAGAAAAGACUUACAAGAGAUGGCUAAGAAAUUGAUUCAAAAGUAAAUUGAGCAUAGAAAGUAAAGCAUUGAAAAGACCAGAGAAUCAAGGAAAUGAAUGCAUGGGGACUGAAGAUAUGAAAUAGAAGAAAAAUCCUUAAAAAUUCCAAACAUGACAAAUUCAUCUACCAAAGAUACUUAACAAAUUACUUUUAAUAACAAAUAUUGAAGGAAAUAUACAACACGAAUUAAAUUUAAAAUAAGGAGAUGUUCUGUUUUUAACUUGUGGAGAAAAGAUUCGCAUGGUUAGAGGAUUACAUUAUGGUUUGGUUAUGAAUGGUUUUGAAACUGCAAGAGGAUCAAUAUGAAUUCACGGAUCAAAAUUACAAAUAGAAAUAUUUUAAAUGCUAAAUAUAGAUGAAUUAUCCUUAAUGCAAAUACUUGAUGAAAUAUUUAAAAUCUGUUAUUCCACUUCAUGGUGGAAUUGCUAUAGGUAUUUUAUUUUUAAUUCAAAUAUCAGCAAUAUUCAAUAAUAUUGAAUUAUAGGAUCAUUUAAUAUGUUUAAUCCAUAAUACCAAAACUAUAAAAAACGAUGAAGCAAGAUUUAAUAUCAAGAGUACUUUUGAGAAAAUAAAAAGAUUUUGUCAUAUACAGACAAUAGACAAAUAAAACCUUUUGUAUUUUUUACUAUAUUGUAAAAUUAAUUCUAAAAGGUUAGUUUGUUAUCUUUAAAAAAUUCUUUUCAAUAAUUUGUGUAUAUUUUAUACAAUAUGUCUAAUAUUUUUAUGCUCUUUAUAAUAAUCGUCAUACUAUAUGAAAAAUCUGUUUAUAUAAUAUAAUAUAAUGUAACCAUGAAAAGUAUUCAUAUAUUACUUUAUAACAUCAAUUUUGUACAAAAAUAUUUAAAAACACAAUUUUAUUUUAAGUAGAAUAAAAUUCAAUUCCAAAGUA